rnacentral:lncRNA from 1 species
GCGCUUGCCUCACAUGUAGAAAGCCCCUGGGUUCGAGCCUCAGUACCACAAAAAGAAAAUGAGCAAAUAGUGUCUCUUUGUAGCCCAGGCUGGCCUCUGGAGCCCAGGCUGGCCCUGAACUCAGCAAUCCUCCUGUCUUAGUCUCCUAUAGAGACUAACCCUUUUUGACUUUUACUUGCCAUAAAUGAGUGUGCGGUUUUUAAAAUGGAAAAGUAUGGGGGCUGGAGAGAGGUGGCUCAGUGGUUAAGAUCACCUGUUGCCUUUUCAGGGCUCCUAACACCCACAUAGUGGCUCACAGCUAUCCAUAACUCUGGCUCCAGGGGAUCUGAUGAGCUGCACAGACAGACAUACAUGCGAGGAAAGCACACGCAUAAGAUAAUUCUCAAAAACUUUAAAUGUGAAAAUGUCUUUCCUUUCAGAUGACUGUCAGAUUAAAAAGCGUUCAUCUUCUCUAAAUUCCAAGCCAUCUUCUCUUCGAAGAGUGACCAUUGCCUCUUUACCCAGGAAUCUUGGAAAUGUGGGGAUGGUGUCAGGCCUGGAAAAUGACAGAUUCAGCCGGCGAUCGAGCAGCUGGAGAAUCCUGGGGACAAAGCAGGGUGAGCACCGCCCCUCGUUACACCGAUUCAUCAGCUCCUAUUCCUGGGCCGAUGCGGAGGAGAAGUGUGAC